rnacentral:rRNA from 1 species
UACGUAGGGUGCGAGCGUUAAUCGGAAUUACUGGGCGUAAAGCGUGCGCAGGCGGCUUUGCAAGACAGAUGUGAAAUCCCCGGGCUCAACCUGGGAACUGCAUUUGUGACUGCAAGGCUAGAGUACGGCAGAGGGGGAUGGAAUUCCGCGUGUAGCAGUGAAAUGCGUAGAUAUGCGGAGGAACACCAAUGGCGAAGGCAAUCCCCUGGCCUGUACUGACGCUCAUGCACGAAAGCGUGGGGAGCAAACAGG